CUUGCUAAAGAUAUAUUUAAUAGAAAAGAAAUGGAUUCAGUUCAAAAAUGGAAAUUCUUUAAAUUUUAAAUUAGAGAAGUUGCAAUUAAACAAAGCAAAGAAAUAAAAAAAAUGAAAAAAUGAAUGCCCUAUUAAAUCAGCUGCAACCACGAAGUCCCAAGAAAGCUUUAUCUGAGGAUGAAUUAAUAUCAUUAAAAAGUCAAGUCACAAAUGUAUGUGAAUUUUGCUAAAGGUGCUUUCAUCAGAUCUCGAGCCAAGUGGUUAGAAGAAGGAGAGAAAAAUUCCAGUUCCUUUUUUUCACUAGAGAAGAGGAAUAGAAAGAGAAACAAUGUUACAUCUCUUAUGGUAAAUGGUGUCAUAUGUUCUGACCCUAAUAACAGCUCUAAUUGCAUCACCUUGUUUUACAACAAACUAUACAUCUGAAUUUAAUCGAGUAAAGUGUGACACAUUUAUAGAACACAUACAAAACUUUACACCUUUGAUUUCAGAAAACUUUAAAGAGGAAUGUGACGCUUAGCUUUUAUGUUCAGAAAUCACAAAUGCUACACACUUAAUGAAACUGAGGAAAUCACCUAGAUAUAUCACAUCUGGGAUAUAAUCAAAGAUCACCUUUUAUUAAUGUAUAAUGAAUGUAUAAACAAACAAGAAAUGACAACCACCAUGAAGCAUGGCUUGAUAACCUUUAUUCCUAAGCCAGGAAAAGAUCAUUUAAUAUAGAAAACUGGAGACCUGUUUCACUUUUAAAUAUAGAUUAUAAAAUCUUAGCUCAAGUUUACGCUAAACGACUAAAAAAGAAUUCAGAAGAGAUAAUAAGUGAAAACCAAAAUGGCUUCAUGGCAAAACGUCAUAUUAGCUCUAAUAUCAGAUUAAUAUUGGAUCUAAUUGACUAUUCUGAUUAUAUUAACUCCAAAGCAUUAAUGGUCUUCCUCGACUUCUACAAGGCAUUUGAGUCAAUUGAACACUCCUUCAUUAUACAAACCCUGCAAAUUUUUGGUUUUCGGUGAUAAAUUUAUUAGUAACAUUGCCAUGUUUCAUAAGGACACAAAUAGUUUGGUCAUUUUGUAUCCCAGAAUGUCCAAAAGGUUUCCUAUUUCCAGAGGUGUACGCCAAGGUUGUCCUGUCUCCUGUUUUUUGUUUUUGGUUGUUGCUGAAAUUCUAUUUCUAUCUAUCUUGCGCAAUCCAAAUAUUCAAGGUUUAACAAUCUUUAAUCGAGAAGUAAAGAUUUGACAGCUGGUCGAUGACACGGUUUUAUUUCUUAAGGGCAAAUCGGAGAUACAAACUGCACUGCAGUAACUGGUGAAUUUUCAGAUGCCUCAGGUCUUAAACUUAAUAUUAGUGAGAGUGAAAUUUUGUGUUUAUAUGAGACUGAUGAAUAAUUUAUGCUUAAUAUUCCUGUUAAGCAAACUGUCAAAUAUCUGGGAAUUCACAUUACAAAAGAUAUCGAGCUUAGGCAGCAACUUAAUUUUCACCCAAAAAUUUAAAAAAAGCAAGUCAAUUUUUAAUUUGUGGCUGCAGAGAGACCUCUGUUGCUACCAAAAGCUGAAGGUGUAUCGAGAUUUGUUUAUCCUGCUCUGUCACUUUUUAUGGAUGAUGCACUUUGUAAAGAAAUUAAGAUUAUUUAUCAACUUUGCUUGGAAAAACAGACGCCACCAUCUUAAGAAAGAAACCCUCAGUUUAGAGAGAGCACAAGGAGGUUUGGAGAUUUUUAAUUGUUUUCAUGUAAAUUCCACCUUUUAAAGUUAAAUGGCUUAAAAAAUGUUUGGAACAACCAGAGUCACUAUGGAAUUUUAUUCCACACGAUAUAUUUAAAAAAGUAGGAGGCUGAAGUUUUUUAUUGAGCUGCAACUACACGGUCUCUAAAUUGCCUCUGAAGCUCUCAAGGUUUUAUCAGCAAGCUUUACUCUCUUGGAAAUUAUUUUAUGUUCACAACUUUUCUCCACACAAGGAACUGCUUUGGAACAAUGGUCAUAUUACAAUUAAAAACAAAAGAAUAUACAAAGAGAGUUGGAUUGAAAGGGACAUAUUUGUGACAGCCUUAUUUGAUGAUAAUGGUGGUCUUUACAGUUAUUAAGACUUUCUGAAAGUUAAAACCUUUCCAGUCAAAUACAGAGAGUUUGUUCCUGUUAUAAACGUGAUUCCCACUGGUAUGAUUGAAUUAAUAAAAUUGUCAAAAUGUUAAUAUUCAGGCACUCUCUCUUAAGGUCGGCGGAAUUGACAUAAUGGACAGAAAAUGUACAAACAAACAUCUAAGGAAAGUAUUACAAAGUCGUAAUAAGAUUUCACCCAGAGGAAAGUUUAUUUGGGGCUCGCAGUUGGUUGGUAUAAACUGGCACAAGACCUGGUUAUGUCCCUUUCAGUUUUGUCUUUCAAAUAAGAUAAGAGAGAAUCAUUUUAAGAUUUUGCAUAAUAUUUACCCAUGUAACAAAUCAAUUUCUAGGUUUGCAGAUGUGAAUGAAAUGUGUACUUUCUGUGGAGAUGAGCCAGAAACAAUUUUGCAUUUAUUCUGUAUUUGCCCAUCAUCAUCUGUAUUUUGGGGGAACAUGGAAAAAUUUGUCUAUGAUAAAACUAAACAGUGCAUAAAAAUAAGACCCAUGGAUACUAUUUCAAAAUUUGUGUGUAGUGAUGAAUCUGUUUUACAGUAAAUCUCUUGAUUCUGAUUGGGAAAUUUCACAUCCACAAAAUGAAAUUUCCUAGGUCCCACCUUAACUUUAAUGUCUUCAUGGAAGAAUUCAAUGUUUAUUUAAACACCUUAAAAUUAAUGACAAACAAAAAAAGUGAGCACAUAUUACUUUGCUUAAAAAAUAUAUUUUCACUUACCCCAAAUUGAUAAGUUCCUUACUUUUGUUAUUUGAUUUAUAUUAUUGAUUAAGUGCAUUAUUGUUUAUGUUAUUUUAAAUGCAUUAUAUUUUUUUAGGGUUUUUGUAUGGUCCCACUUGCGUGUUUUUAUAUGUAUUCUGAUUGUCUGUACUUUGUCAAGUUUUCAAUAAAGCUUUAAGAAAAAAAAAGUUGCGCGCUUCCGUUAGGCAGUUUCCAACUGUUUUCCAUUCAACAAGGCAUCUGCUAAAGUCAUGGAGCCUCGCUCUAGCAACAGUCUCUCCCUCAGCAGGUUAGAGACGUUUUCUUUAUUAACUGGUCAACUGUAAGUCCAUCCUCCGAAGUCCCGAAAUCACAGAGCUUGGCCAUCUCAUGUAAUGCCGACACAAAAUGCGCGACAGUCUCACACUUCUGGGUCCUCUGACGAAACUCGAAACAGCGCAUCUGCCGGCUUCUUCCGGAGGUGAAGUGAGACGGCCGUGGCCGUAGCGUACUUAUCAUCCGCCAGAAGAGACUCCCGUUGCAAACAAAUGUCGCAGAAGGCAGUGGCGGAAACUACGACUCCCACAAUGCAUUGCACGAUGCUCAAGAUGGCCGCCGCAAUGUGUGUGUCUCCACAUUUUUCAACAGAUGCAGCGGGCGGUUCGGCAGAGGGCAUCCACACUGCAUUUCUGCAAGAAAUGCAAAUUGCUUCUAGUUUAUUUAAUUCUUCAUUUAUUUAUUUGUUACAACUACUACACAAUUUAUUUGUUGUUUAGUAGUUGUUGUAAUCGUGUGUGUGUGCUCUUCUUUGUUGUGUUUUUUUGUGGUUGUUAUUGAUGUAUUUAUGUGUGGAUGAGAAAGAAAUAUGAAAUGGAGGAUCAGAAUCGAGAAAGUAAAAGGAUUAAUGAACGUAAUGUAUUAGCACAUAUUGGAUAUUUAGUAUUACUAUUCUAUCCAUUAUUAAAUGAAUAAUUUCUUUCCACUUGUA